rnacentral:tRNA from 1 species
UAAAAUGGCUGAGCGUCAAGCGGUGGAUUGUAGUCCCAUAUACAGAGGUUAAACUCCUCUUUUUAU